rnacentral:rRNA from 2 species
GGACUACAAGGGUAUCUAAUCCCGUUUGCUCCCCUAGCCUUCGUGCCUCAGCGUCAGUCACUGUCCAGAGAUUCGCCUUCGCCACUGGUCUUCCUCACGAUAUCUACGCAUUUCACUGCUACACCGUGAAUUCCAAUCUCCUCUCCAGUACUCUAGCAAGGCAGUAUUGAAUGCAGUUCCGGAGUUAAGCUCCGGGAUUUCACAUCCAACUUACCCUACCGCCUACGCACCCUUUACGCCCAAUGAAUCCGAACAACGCUUGAGACCUCUGUAUUACCGCGGCUGCUGGCAC